GGCCGACUAGCUCAGCUGGUUAGAGCGUGGUGCUAAUACAAGUCACUUGACUGGACUACGCCAAGGUCGUCGGUUCGAUCCCGGCGUUGGCCA